rnacentral:rRNA from 1 species
AGAGUUUGAUCAUGGCUCAGAACGAACGCUGGCGGCAUGCCUAACACAUGCAAGUCGAACGAAGCCUUCGGGCUUAGUGGCGCACGGGUGCGUAACGCGUGGGAAUCUGCCCUUGGGUUCGGAAUAACAGUUAGAAAUGACUGCUAAUACCGAAUGAUGUCUUCGGACCAAAGAUUUAUCGCCCAAGGAUGAGCCCGCGUCGGAUUAGCUGGUUGGUGAGGUAAAGGCUCACCAAGGCGACGAUCCGUAGCUGGUCUGAGAGGAUGAUCAGCCACACUGGGACUGAGACACGGCCCAGACUCCUACGGGAGGCAGCAGUGGGGAAUAUUGGACAAUGGGCGAAAGCCUGAUCCAGCAAUGCCGCGUGAGUGAUGAAGGCCUUAGGGUUGUAAAGCUCUUUUACCCGGGAUGAUAAUGACAGUACCGGGAGAAUAAGCCCCGGCUAACUCCGUG